rnacentral:rRNA from 1 species
UUAAGUUAUUAAGGGCGCACGGUGGAUGCCUUGGCACUAGAAGCCGAUGAAGGACGUUACUAACGACGAUAUGCUUUGGGGAGCUGUAAGUAAGCUUUGAUCCAGAGAUUUCCGAAUGGGGAAACCCAGCAUGAGUUAUGUCAUGUUAUCGAUAUGUGAAUACAUAGCAUAUCAGAAGGCACACCCGGAGAACUGAAACAUCUUAGUACCCGGAGGAAGAGAAAGAAAAUUCGAUUCCCUUAGUAGCGGCGAGCGAAACGGGAAGAGCCCAAACCAACAAGCUUGCUUGUUGGGGUUGUAGGACACUCUGUACGGAGUUACAAAGGACGACAUUAGACGAAUCAUCUGGAAAGAUGAAUCAAAGAAGGUAAUAAUCCUGUAGUCGAAAAUGUUGUCUCUCUUGAGUGGAUCCUGAGUACGACGGAGCACGUGAAAUUCCGUCGGAAUCUGGGAGGACCAUCUCCUAAGGCUAAAUACUCUCUAGUGACCGAUAGUGAACCAGUACCGUGAGGGAAAGGUGAAAAGCACCCCGGAAGGGGAGUGAAAUAGAACCUGAAACCGUGUGCUUACAAGUAGUCAGAGCCCGUUAAUGGGUGAUGGCGUGCCUUUUGUAGAAUGAACCGGCGAGUUACGAUUUGAUGCAAGGUUAAGCAGUAAAUGUGGAGCCGUAGCGAAAGCGAGUCUGAAUAGGGCGUUUAGUAUUUGGUCGUAGACCCGAAACCAGGUGAUCUACCCUUGGUCAGGUUGAAGUUCAGGUAACACUGAAUGGAGGACCGAACCGACUUACGUUGAAAAGUGAGCGGAUGAACUGAGGGUAGCGGAGAAAUUCCAAUCGAACCUGGAGAUAGCUGGUUCUCUCCGAAAUAGCUUUAGGGCUAGCCUCAAGUGAUGAUUAUUGGAGGUAGAGCACUGUUUGGACGAGGGGCCCCUCUCGGGUUACCGAAUUCAGACAAACUCCGAAUGCCAAUUAAUUUAACUUGGGAGUCAGAACAUGGGUGAUAAGGUCCGUGUUCGAAAGGGAAACAGCCCAGACCACCAGCUAAGGUCCCAAAAUAUAUGUUAAGUGGAAAAGGAUGUGGCGUUGCCCAGACAACUAGGAUGUUGGCUUAGAAGCAGCCAUCAUUUAAAGAGUGCGUAAUAGCUCACUAGUCGAGUGACACUGCGCCGAAAAUGUACCGGGGCUAAACAUAUUACCGAAGCUGUGGAUUGUCCUUUGGACAAUGGUAGGAGAGCGUUCUAAGGGCGUUGAAGCAUGAUCGUAAGGACAUGUGGAGCGCUUAGAAGUGAGAAUGCCGGUGUGAGUAGCGAAAGACGGGUGAGAAUCCCGUCCACCGAUUGACUAAGGUUUCCAGAGGAAGGCUCGUCCGCUCUGGGUUAGUCGGGUCCUAAGCUGAGGCCGACAGGCGUAGGCGAUGGAUAACAGGUUGAUAUUCCUGUACCACCUAUAAUCGUUUUAAUCGAUGGGGGGACGCAGUAGGAUAGGCGAAGCGUGCGAUUGGAUUGCACGUCUAAGCAGUAAGGCUGAGUAUUAGGCAAAUCCGGUACUCGUUAAGGCUGAGCUGUGAUGGGGAGAAGACAUUGUGUCUUCGAGUCGUUGAUUUCACACUGCCGAGAAAAGCCUCUAGAUAGAAAAUAGGUGCCCGUACCGCAAACCGACACAGGUAGUCAAGAUGAGAAUUCUAAGGUGAGCGAGCGAACUCUCGUUAAGGAACUCGGCAAAAUGACCCCGUAACUUCGGGAGAAGGGGUGCUCUUUAGGGUUAACGCCCAGAAGAGCCGCAGUGAAUAGGCCCAAGCGACUGUUUAUCAAAAACACAGGUCUCUGCUAAACCGUAAGGUGAUGUAUAGGGGCUGACGCCUGCCCGGUGCUGGAAGGUUAAGAGGAGUGGUUAGCUUCUGCGAAGCUACGAAUCGAAGCCCCAGUAAACGGCGGCCGUAACUAUAACGGUCCUAAGGUAGCGAAAUUCCUUGUCGGGUAAGUUCCGACCCGCACGAAAGGCGUAACGAUUUGGGCACUGUCUCAACGAGAGACUCGGUGAAAUCAUAGUACCUGUGAAGAUGCAGGUUACCCGCGACAGGACGGAAAGACCCCGUGGAGCUUUACUGUAGCCUGAUAUUGAAAUUCGGCACAGCUUGUACAGGAUAGGUAGGAGCCUUUGAAACGUGAGCGCUAGCUUACGUGGAGGCGCUGGUGGGAUACUACCCUAGCUGUGUUGGCUUUCUAACCCGCACCACUUAUCGUGGUGGGAGACAGUGUCAGGCGGGCAGUUUGACUGGGGCGGUCGCCUCCUAAAAGGUAACGGAGGCGCUCAAAGGUUCCCUCAGAAUGGUUGGAAAUCAUUCAUAGAGUGUAAAGGCAUAAGGGAGCUUGACUGCGAGACCUACAAGUCGAGCAGGGUCGAAAGACGGACUUAGUGAUCCGGUGGUUCCGCAUGGAAGGGCCAUCGCUCAACGGAUAAAAGCUACCCCGGGGAUAACAGGCUUAUCUCCCCCAAGAGUUCACAUCGACGGGGAGGUUUGGCACCUCGAUGUCGGCUCAUCGCAUCCUGGGGCUGUAGUCGGUCCCAAGGGUUGGGCUGUUCGCCCAUUAAAGCGGUACGCGAGCUGGGUUCAGAACGUCGUGAGACAGUUCGGUCCCUAUCCGUCGUGGGCGUAGGAAAUUUGAGAGGAGCUGUCCUUAGUACGAGAGGACCGGGAUGGACAUACCUCUGGUGUACCAGUUGUCGUGCCAACGGCAUAGCUGGGUAGCUAUGUGUGGACGGGAUAAGUGCUGAAAGCAUCUAAGCAUGAAGCCCCCCUCAAGAUGAGAUUUACCAACUUCGGUUAUAAGAUCCCUCAAAGAUGAUGAGGUUAAUAGGUUCGAGGUGGAAGCAUGGUGACAUGUGGAGCUGACGAAUACUAAUCGAUCGAAGACUUAAUCAA